CGCUUUUGGAGGGCUGUACCACCAGGGUGAGGUCUCUCUGUCGGGAUCUGGUCCUCGCUCACAUAGGGAGUAAGAGAGAUCCGGGGGCCAUGCACCAAAGGGAGAAGAACUCCAGGAGGUGCCCUCCACAGCAGAAUGGCAGAAGGUUCAGUUCAGAGCUAGGGCUGCUCGUGGUGGUGCAGUACCAACUCCCCCAGUCCAGCUGGGAACAGGUGUGAGGCCCUGGCGACAUUGGAGGAAGAGGAAGGUUGGCUGAUCUCCUCUGGUGGGCUUUAAGACAGACACGUCAGGGGAGGGAGAGGAAGAGGACCAUGGGAGCCACAGAACACCGAACCAAGAGACACCUGUCACAACCAAAUUAAAUACUGCCCAUGCCACAAGCAAGAAAUAUAUUAAAACAGUUUUAGUCUGCACUAGGUUAACUAAGAGUUAACUAACAAGAGGAUAGUAACAGGUUUUUUUGCUGCGCAUGUCAAAAAGAGAUUUAUAACUGCGACCCUAACUAGAAAUGAAACUUAGCCUUCUGUGCUGUACAUAAAUCAUUAUAAUUGGUCAAAGAAAACAAGGAGUAACCCUAUGAUAACACCCUAGCAAAGACCGCUAGAUAACUGACGAUUCUAAUUAAAUUUAUGACGUGGCGAAAAGCAAUUGGCUAUUACACAAAUAAAACCCGUCUUCACUUCCGUGAAGAACAGGAGACCUCCGCACACACACCUGAAAAACCUCUGAAUGUAUGCGUGAAAGUAACUGACAAAUUGAUCACUUGUCAGUUUCCCCCGUCUCGACCCAAUUCUCAGACGUAAAUCAACGACUUGCCGGCCCGACCUUUCUCUCCAUUUCUCUGCCCGACCAACGAACUCUUAUGCAGACCGACAUACGACCUAUGAGCCUUAAGCUGUAACUAACCAAGUAUCUCUGACCUCCGCUAUUCACCACCUUAAUGGCGUGAGUAAAUAAUCUUGCUUUGCAACCGAUAA